GGGCACUUUUCUGGGCGGAUGUGUCGUAUUCGAGUGCAGUGCACUAGGAAACCGAUCUGGGCAAUUGCAGGAUGGCCAACCACAGCACAGCUACGGAUAAAUGGUUGAUUGGUUCACAGUUCACAGCUCACUUUGUCAGUGCUGCCGGACCUACCGCCAACUUACAAAGUUGCCCAGCCCUUGGCGCUAAAUUUGAAUUUUAAAUUUAUUUGUUCGCUAUGGACUUACAAUUUAAGAAAUGUACACUAUAGUUAAUCUUUGCAGUGUGGUAACUUUUGAUUUGCCAUCAAAAUAAGAAUUGGUUUCUAUUGAACAAAUAUAUAACUUUAAGUAGUGUU